AACGCCUGGCGGAGUGAUUUCGCAAGGACUACACCCAAGCCUGUGUCUGGUUGCCGCGGCUCCUCAUCGUUGCCUAGACCAGAGGAAAGCCGGGACGAGACGGAGCCGGGGGGUUUUGCUUGCUUGGAGGCCCGUUAACCACCCAAAAAACACUGCUUCUUCUUCGUUCAAGAGACGCCCGUGGUUUAUCUUCACUCGUCGUGCUUUAUUCCCCAUCCUAGAACUAAUAUCAUUAACAUGUCCUGGCAAGGCUACGUGGAUAACCUGAUGGCUGAUGGCAGCUGCCAGGACGCGGCCAUUGUGGGCUACACGGACGCCAAAUACGUCUGGGGAUCGCAUCCCGGCGGUACCUUUGGCAACAUAACGCCAGCUGAAAUCGAUGUGUUAGUAGGAAAGGACCGAGAGGGCUUCUUCACCAGUGGGAUGACCCUAGGUGGUAAAAAGUGCUCAGUAAUCAGAGACAGCCUGAACAUUGACAGCGACUGGACAAUGGACAUCCGGACAAAGAGUCAAGGAGGCGAGCCAACAUACAAUAUUUCCGUAGGCAAAGCGGGCAAAAUCUUGGUCUUGGUAAUGGGCAAAGAAGGGGUCCAUGGAGGCGGAUUGAAUAAGAAGGCAUACUCGAUGGCAAAAUACUUGAGGGAUUCGGGGUUUUAGAAGUAGCUUUUGUGGCGUAGGAGAGGGAGGGGGGGAAAAAAUAAAAGGGGAAAACAAAAAAACACAAAACGUUUAAAAAGGACAAAAAAAAAAAGUUUCUGUCAAGCCAACAUUUGCCCCCUACAGGCAGUCUCAUCAAAUAGUCCCCAGGAGCAUUUAAAGGGUGCAGGGCAACAAUGUAGCCCCAUAUUUACCUGAGCAUUGGUUUUUGUCAUGGGGAAAGAAGGUAUCCAUGGAGGACUGCUCAACAAGAAAGCUUUUUCGAUGGCUGAGUACCUGAGGAAGUCAGGCUACUAAAGCGACCCGUAACCAGCUACCUAGCAGUUCACCCUUGCCACCUUGUUGCAUUUCACACUACUUCCAGUCCUAGUUUGUAGUUUGUUUUUUCUGCCUUCUCUCCUCCCUUCCCCCCCCCUCCCUCCCCCCCAUUUACCCUUGAACCCUUCGCUCCACACAUUUGCUCUGUGUAUCCUUAUAUCUCCUUUCAAGCACUCUUACGUUGAUCCAUAGCAAAGACGAGCAUGUUGCUAAAUAGGAUGUCAUGACAAAUCUGUACUUAACCAAGACCAGCAAAAAAAAAAAAAAA